UCGACACGAUAUCGAUGGCGACACCAGUCAACUUACUGGUGUGUGGAAGCAGACUGAUUAAUUUCAGCCCGGUGUAAACCGCGAACAGGUCAGAGACCUGGGGAGCUUCGCAAUAACUCAACAUUUCGCCGCCCCGAUGCACAGAUAUCUGUCG
rfam:Trabulsiella guamensis ATCC 49490 GTGT.assembly.070, whole genome shotgun sequence.